rnacentral:rRNA from 1 species
GAUGAACGCUGGCGGCGUGCCUAAUACAUGCCAGUCGAGCGAACAGACGAGGAGCUUGCUCCUCUGACGUUAGCGGCGGACGGGUGAGUAACACGUGGAUAACCUACCUAUAAGACUGGGAUAACUUCGGGAAACCGGAGCUAAUACCGGAUAAUAUAUUGAACCGCAUGGUUCAAUAGUGAAAGACGGUUUUGCUGUCACUUAUAGAUGGAUCCGCGCCGCAUUAGCUAGUUGGUAAGGUAACGGCUUACCAAGGCAACGAUGCGUAGCCGACCUGAGAGGGUGAUCGGCCACACUGGAACUGAGACACGGUCCAGACUCCUACGGGAGGCAGCAGUAGGGAAUCUUCCGCAAUGGGCGAAAGCCUGACGGAGCAACGCCGCGUGAGUGAUGAAGGUCUUCGGAUCGUAAAACUCUGUUAUUAGGGAAGAACAAAUGUGUAAGUAACUGUGCACGUCUUGACGGUACCUAAUCAGAAAGCCACGGCUAACUACGUG